UACAGAGGAGCCAAGCGUUGUCCGGAUUGACUGGGCGUAAAGCGCACGCAGGCGGAGAGGCGCGUGGGGUGUGAAAGCUGGUGGCUUAACUGCCAGUCGCCAUCCCAUACGGCCACUCUGGAGCCUUGCAGAGGGCAGUGGAAUUGCCGGUGUAGUGGUGAAAUGCGUAGAGAUGUGGAGGAAUACCGAUGGCGAAGGCAGCCCCCUGGGAUAACACUGACGCUCAUGCACGAAAGCGUGGGGAGCAAACAGG
rnacentral:rRNA from 1 species